UCCGAACCCGGAAGCUAAGCCCGCCAGCGCCGAUGGUACUGCACCCCCACGGGUGUGGGAGAGUAGGACACCGCCGAAC
rnacentral:rRNA from 1 species